rnacentral:rRNA from 1 species
UACGUAGGGCGCAAGCGUUGUCCGGAAUUAUUGGGCGUAAAGAGCUCGUAGGCGGUUUGUCACGUCGGCUGUGAAAUCCCGAGGCUUAACCUCGGGCUUGCAGUCGAUACGGGCAGACUAGAGUGGAGCAGGGGAGACUGGAAUUCCUGGUGUAGCGGUGAAAUGCGCAGAUAUCAGGAGGAACACCGAUGGCGAAGGCAGGUCUCUGGGCUUUAACUGACGCUGAGGAGCGAAAGCGUGGGUAGCGAACAGG